UACAGAGGUCCCAAGCGUUGUUCGGAUUCAUUGGGCGUAAAGCGCACGUAGGCGGACUCUUAAGUCGGUGGUGAAAUCCUGGAGCUCAACUCCAGAACUGCCUUCGAUACUGGGAGUCUCGAGUUCGGGAGAGGUGAGUGGAACUGCGAGUGUAGAGGUGAAAUUCGUAGAUAUUCGCAAGAACACCAGUGGCGAAGGCGGCUCACUGGCCCGAUACUGACGCUGAGGUGCGAAAGCGUGGGGAGCAAACAGG
rnacentral:rRNA from 1 species